UGUCUUGUAAAUGGAAUGAUGGUGACUUAAACCCUCACCAGAGUACCAAUUGGAGGGCAAGUCUGGUGCCAGCAGCCGCGGUAAUUCCAGCUCCAAUAGCGUAUAUUAAACUUGUUGCAGUUAAAAAGCUCGUAGUUGAAUUUCAGCGUUUCGCGUGUGCCUCUUUUGGCCCAUCUCGUCUCGCUUUUUUUAUUACUUUGAGAAAAUUAGAGUGUUUCAAGCAGGCUUUUGUCUUGAAUACUUGAGCAUGGAAUAAUAGAGUAGGACCUUGGUUCUAUUUUGUUGGUUUUGUUACCUUGGUAAUGGUUAAUAGGAACGGUUGGGGGCAUUCGUAUUUAACUGUCAGAGGUGAAAUUCUUAGAUUUGUUAAAGACGAACUACUGCGAAAGCAUUUGCCAAGGACGUUUCCAUUAAUCA
rnacentral:rRNA from 1 species